UUUUGGACAAUGGGCGCAAGCCUGAUCCAGCCAUGCCGCGUGUAUGAAGAAGGCCUUCGGGUUGUAAAGUACUUUUGUCAGGGAAGAAAAGCCAACGGAUAAUACCUGUUGGUCAUGACGGUACCUGAAGAAUAAGCACCGGCUAACUACGUGCCAGCAGCCGCGGUAAUACGUAGGGUGCGAGCGUUAAUCGGAAUUACUGGGCGUAAAGCGAGCGCAGACGGUUAUUUAAGCAAGAUGUGAAAGCCCCGGGCUCAACCUGGGAACUGCGUUUUGAACUGGGUAACUAGAGUGUGUCAGAGGGGGGUAGAAUUCCACGUGUAGCAGUGAAAUGCGUAGAGAUGUGGAGGAAUACCGAUGGCGAAGGCAGCCCCCUGGGAUAACACUGACGUCAUGCUCGAGA
rnacentral:rRNA from 1 species